rnacentral:rRNA from 1 species
GACGAACGCUGGCGGCGUGCUUAACACAUGCAAGUCGAACGGAAAGGCCCUGCUUUUGUGGGGUGCUCGAGUGGCGAACGGGUGAGUAACACGUGAGUAACCUGCCCUUGACUUUGGGAUAACUUCAGGAAACUGGGGCUAAUACCGGAUAGGAGCUCCUGCUGCAUGGUGGGGGUUGGAAAGUUUCGGCGGUUGGGGAUGGACUCGCGGCUUAUCAGCUUGUUGGUGGGGUAGUGGCUUACCAAGGCUUUGACGGGUAGCCGGCCUGAGAGGGUGACCGGCCACGGUGGGACUGAGAUGGGGCCCAGACGCCUACGGGAGGGAGAAGUGGGGAAGAGUGCGCAAUGGGCGGGAGGCGGAUGCGGCAGCGCCGGGUGCGGGAUGACGGCCUUCGGGUUGUGAAGCGCUUUCGCCGGGGACGAAGGGUGGGUGACGGUAAUGGGUAAAGAAGCACCGGCUAACUACGUG